rnacentral:rRNA from 1 species
UACGGAGGGAGCUAGCGUUAUUCGGAAUUACUGGGCGUAAAGCGCACGUAGGCGGCUUUGUAAGUUAGAGGUGAAAGCCCGGGGCUCAACUCCGGAACUGCCUUUAAGACUGCAUCGCUAGAAUUGUGGAGAGGUAAGUGGAAUUCCGAGUGUAGAGGUGAAAUUCGUAGAUAUUCGGAAGAACACCAGUGGCGAAGGCGACUUACUGGACACAUAUUGACGCUGAGGUGCGAAAGCGUGGGGAGCAAACAGG